CCUACGUGAGGCAGCAGUGGGGAAUAUUGGACAAUGGGGGCAACCCUGAUCCAGCAAUGCCGCGUGUGUGAUGAAGGCCUUCGGGUUGUAAAGCACUUUUAUCCGGAACGAAACGCGCAGGGUGAAUAGCCUUGCGAACUGACGGUACCGGAGGAAUAAGCACCGGCUAACUUCGUGCCAGCAGCCGCGGUAAU
rnacentral:rRNA from 1 species